rnacentral:lncRNA from 1 species
GUCCAGUAGAAAUAUAUCUACUUUUGCUGGUCUUUCUUUCCUUCUCUCCCUUCCUUCCUUUCUUCCUUCCUUUACUCCCUUUCUUUCUUUUCUCCUCCCUCUCUUUUCCUUUCUCUUUCAUUCCUUUCUUAAUUACUAUAUUUUCUAAAAUAAGCAUGUAUUGCUUACGUAGUCAGGAAAAAACCUACAUUAUUUUAAAUUUGAAGCAUUUGCUUUUCCUUAAUUUUUCAGCCAUUUUUUUCUUUAUCAGUUGGAGAGAUUGAAGGGAUAUUUUUAAAGCUUAAAUCUGAAGAUUCAUAUAAAUACAUCAUAACAGGUUCUUGCCCUGUCACCGAAUAAUGCAGUGGUUAUCAAAGCUCAUAACAGCCUCAAACUCCUGGGCUCAAGCAAUCCUCCACCACAUCCUCCUGAGUAUCUGGGACUACAGGAAAUCACCAGCAAUUUCCCACUUUGGACUCAGUAAGUCAGUAAGUGGAGAAGCUCAAAAUGGACAAAGAAAAGCAACUGAAGGGCCGGGCACGAUGGCUCAAGUCUGUAAUCCCAGCACUUUGGGAGGCUGAAGUGGGCGGAUCAAGAGGUCAGGAGUUCCAGACCAGCCUGGCCAACAUGGUGAAACUCCAUCUCUACUAAAAAUACAAAAAUUAGCUGGGCAUGGUGGCGGGCACCUGUAAUCCCUGGAGGCUGAGACAGAAGAAUUGCUUGAACCCAGAAGGUGGAGGUUGCCAUGAGCCAAGAUUGUGCCACUGCACUUCAGCCUGGGCAACAGAGCAAAGCUCCGUCUUGAAAAAAAUAAAAAAGAAAAGAAAAGCAACUGAAAUGCUUUGGAAUCCUUUGAUAAUCUCACCUAGCCUUCCUUCUCCACAUUUGAUUUGUUAAUAAUAAAUAUAGUGGUCAUAUCAACAACAACAACAAAAAAACCAAAACAACAACAAAAAACAAACAAACAAAAAAAGGAAACAGGAGGUGGACGCAAGGAGAUCAGUUAGAAUGUAAGUUCCAAGAGGCCAGGAUCUUUGUUUGGUUCAUGUCUUCCCCAAGUGCCUAGGAGACUGCCAGAUAUAAAAAUAAUGUUCUUCAGGCCCAUCCAUCCAUGUUGUAACAAAUGGCAGGAUAUUCUCCUCUUCAAGGCUGAAUGGUAUUCCAUUACUUAUAUAUACACAUCAUAGUUUCUUUAUUCAUCCCUUGAUGGACACCUAGGUUGUUUCUAUAUCUUGGCUACUGUGAAUAAUGCUGCAGUCAACAUGGGAGUGCUGAUAUCUUUACAGG